rnacentral:rRNA from 1 species
CCUUUAGGUAUCGCCUCGGAUGAAUACCUCAGGGGGUAGAGCACUGGAUGGGCUAGGGGGACUUACCGUCUUACCAAACCCAACCAAACUCCGAAUACCUGAGAGUACUAUCCGGGAGUCACACGGCGGGUGCUAACGUCCGUCGUGGAGAGGGAAACAACCCUGACCAACAGCUAAGGCCCCCAAUUCGUGGCUAAGUGGGAAAGGAUGUGGGAAUCCCAAAACAACCAGGAGGUUGGCUUAGAAGCAGCCAUCCUUUAAAGAUAGCGUAACAGCUCACUGGUCUAAACAAGUUGUCCUGCGGCGAAGAUGUAACGGGGCUCAAGCCAUGAGCCGAAGCUUCGGAUGCACAUAGUGCAUGGUAGCAGAGCGUAGUGUG